rnacentral:rRNA from 1 species
UUUGAUCCUGGCUCAGAACGAACGCUGGCGGCGUGUUUAAGACAUGCAAGUCGCACGGAGAAUACGGAUAGCUUGCUAAUUGUAUUCUUAGUGGCGCACGGGUGAGUAACACGUGAGUAACAUGCCUCGUAGAGGGGAAUAGCCCACCGAAAGGCGGAUUAAUACCCCAUAGUCCCGCAAGGGUAAAGGUGGCCUUCGGGCUGCCGCUACGAGAUUGGCUCGCGUCCUAUCAGCUUGUUGGUAAGGUAACGGCUUACCAAGGCAACGACGGGUAGCUGGUCUGAGAGGACGAUCAGUCACACUGGAACUGAGACACGGUCCAGACACCUACGGGUGGCAGCAGUCGAGAAUAAUUCACAAUGGACGAAAGUCUGAUGGUGCAACGCCGCGUGGAGGAUGAAGGCCCUAGGGUCGUAAACUCCUGUCAUCUGAGAGUAAGACCUGGCGGUUAAUAGCCGACAGGGUUGAUAGUAUCAAAAGAGGAAUGGACGGCUAACUUCGUGCCAGCAGCCGCGGUAACAAGACGUCUACCAGCGUGUUGUCGGAACUC